rnacentral:lncRNA from 1 species
UUUACGAUGCAUUUAGAAUGAAAGUACAUUUUUGCCCUAACAUAUACCUGGUGUGGAAUGACCUCAAACAAUUGUGAUAAGACAGUGACUAAGGAGUAUACAAAGGAGGGGGCUGGCAGUCGGAAGAAUGAGUAGACUCUUGAGGGACCAGUUAGGGGAAAGUGGCAUAAGAGAGACAGGAAACAACUCAAUGAUAAGAAAAGAAAAAGGCAUCAAGAGGAAAAACAAAAUAUCGAACCACACAUGAAAGAAUUAAAUCAGCCUUCCCACUGAUAAUAUGAGAGAGGGCUUUUGUGAACGACUUGUGCUUGCUCAAAAUAUAAUUCUUGAAGGUUUAGUGUUCUUUCUCACCUCUAUACUUCAAAUGCAUGGCUUCUUCUAUUCAAUGCUGAUUCCAUCCUUGUCUCUCUACAGAAUAUCUGUUUUCCUUGAAGGCCUGGUGUACCACCCUCUCCUCAAUGAAGCCUUCAUUCAUUUGCCGCCUUCACCUUGUACCACAGCAAAGGGAUCAUGCAAUGAUUUAACAACAGCUGUUUUGAAGGUGAAGAGAACAUUUCCAGCCUGA